UGGGGAAUCUUGCGCAAUGGGCGAAAGCCUGACGCAGCCAUGCCGCGUGAGUGAUGAAGGCCCUAGGGUUGUAAAGCUCUGUCGGGGGGGAAGAACACAAUGACGGUACCUCCCAAGAAAGCACCGGCUAACUCCGUGCCAGCAGCCGCGGUAAUACGGAGGGUGCAAGCGUUGCUCGGAUUUACUGGGCGUAAAGCGAACGCAGGCGGACUGUUAAGUCGGUUGUGAAAGCCCAGGGCUCAACCCUGGAACUGCAUCCGAAACUGGUGGUCUUGAGUUCGGGAGAGGGAAGCGGAAUUCCUGGUGUAGAGGUGAAAUUCGUAGAUAUCAGGAGGAACACCUGUGGCGAAAGCGGCUUCCUGGUCCGAUACUGACGCUCAUGUUCGAAAGCGUGGGGAGCAAACAGG
rnacentral:rRNA from 1 species